GGAAAGGCGAAAAUGGUGCUUGCGUGCGGAGUUAAAAGUGCAAUGUAAAAGGACGAUUUAGAAAAAAAGUGAAUGCAGCAAGAUCCUGCAGCGGAGACAAAGUAGCACUGUACUGAAUGAUCAUGAAUGCAUGGCAAUGCAACUUCAGUACUGUGUUUCUGUCAGACUGCCGGCCUUCAUCAAGCCCUACUUCCUGGAGAAAUACACCGGAUACUUGAUUAAUCAGCGUUUUAUGACUGAGCGUCAGGUUGCGGGUGGACAGGCAAACAGGAAGCGGGGAAGGAUGAGGCAGGACGAGGCUCCCUGAACACGCAUUACGCCUUUGGUAAAUAAAGUGCUCUGCUCAUGGGUCCUCAUACCUAGGCUGCAGGUGAACUGAAGGAAAGCUCGUCACCCCACCCUAGGAUUUCCGCCCCUAUUGCACACAUUGACUGGUGACUCCAAACCCCACACUUUAAUGCUGGAGGGUACUUGGAUGUUAUUUUGUUAUUUUUUAUUUUUAUUCUUUAUUGUUAUAAGUGUGGUAUCAUUAGCAUUUUAGGCUACUAAUGUAGCCACCAAUCUUGGGUUCACGGUUGUUUUCUUUCUGUCCAUCUUCCUUCAUCAUAUGUUCUUCAUACAAGUCGAGUUCGUACGCAUAGUAUGCAUAGUAUCAACUCCUUUACCAAUACAAAUAUGGUUUAGCAAUGUUCUUAACCAUUUGUCACCAUGGCGACACAUCUUUAUGGCAGAUGAUGGUUGCGAACGUGCUCUGGCUCCCUGGGGGGUUGGGGAGGGGGUGAUCAUGAGCCCUGAAUAGCAGCAGCUCUGACAUCAUCCUGUCAUCCAAUCAGAAUCCCCGGCCUGAAGCCUGACGCAGGUGCGCGCUGCUCCUGGUGACGCACAUACACAGUAGUAAUGUGCCAUUUCCCCACUUCCCCAGUGAUGCAGGACCGGAAUAUGGGAGGAUAUUAUCUUAGAACCAGAUUUGCCAUAAAUAGAUUGCAGAUAUGCAUCUGCCCGGGGCUGUGUGCCCCCUACCCUAUGGGAUUAAUUGAUAGCCCCUGACAAGGUGGUGGUGUCAGGUAGUGGUGAGGUGAUUGCACAGCUAUGAAUCAUCAUGUGCUUGCAUCAAAUGCAGGUGAAACACUUCUAUCUUCCUCCGCCGUUGUGCAGCAUUUACCAUGAGGAAAGUCUUUUGUAUUUGAAUGCCCCCACAACACAGCUGUAGCACGCAUGAACACCAACUUUCAGGUUUUCACAUUUCUUUUAUUUAUAUAAAAUAAAUGAAUAUUUAUUUAUUAUGAUAUUUUUACGAUGCACUUUACAAAGCAUUGCAAGUGACUCAUACAGUACAUGACAUGCUGCGCAACGAGCAGCAUUAUUAAUAUGAGCAUGUCAUUAGUCGUUCACAUCUAAGUGAAACAAAACCAGACUUAAAUCAUAUGUGAAUGCUUCCACAACACAUCCGCGGCACACACAGUAACAAAAAGUACAUGUUUAUCAUGCAAGAAACGUUAAAAUAAAUAGAAAUUACGGUCUGAAUAUUUUAUUUUUUUAAUAUUUUACCCAUAUAAGCAACUUUUACCUUCAUAUAUUUAUAUAACAUUACUCUUGUCAAAAUGGAAUAUUUUUGAAAUAUGCAAUGCAAAAAACGCUUGUUAAUUAAGAAAAUAUACAUUGAUCAGCCAUAACAUUUAAUCUACUGAUUGGUGAAGUA